AUUAGUGAAACGCAAACCGGUCGAAAGUCCGGGACGCAAAGUCAGGAAUCUACAGCGACACGUUCGCCAUGAUCGUCCGACCGCCUCG
rnacentral:ncRNA from 1 species